rnacentral:lncRNA from 13 species
GUUCUGUCUUGUGAUUCUUAGAGCAUGUUAGAAUUGUUCUGACUCUGGAGCAAGAUUAGGUCAUUUCAGAUGUUUAGCCUAUUUGUUGUCUCAACUGCUUCAGGGAGCUUUUUGGGAAAUUUCGAAACACUGAAUGGUUGUAACUUCCGUGUCUCCUAGCAUUAUUUGAACUUCUGAAUCUCUGUUUGACUCACAGUCCUUCAGUAGCUGAUUCUUCCAGGCAUCAUAUUUUUUUGUUCUGUACACUUACAGCUAUGUAGUUGGCCAAAUGCUUAGAGAAACUUCUAGGCAGAUUCUGGUGUGCUCCCUUUUUGCUCUCUUCAGAGAUUUGCAUAUUUGAUUUGCAUAUUUGAGCUAUCUCCACAAUACUAAACUCUGCUACAUGCUUUUUAUGCCAGUGAAAUUGCUGAUCUCUGUUAGCAUUUCACUCCUCAGUGCUGUUGUAUGAAAUUGGUUCUAAGACAGAAAGUCCAGAAAGAAAAUGUCCUACAGUGCUUUUACCCAGUGAGCAUGAAGCUCUGGGGUAUAAAACCCAGGCUGGACUGCUUUCUGGGUUCCCACAGGUGUGUUGCAAGUGAUGAUACACAGAAAAGAUUUCCUCUGCCCCAGGCAGCUUCCCUGAGCCUCACAGGAUCUGCUCACCAUGAAACCCAGGCUUCUGUUGUCCCUUGGUACCUAUCUGUGGGACGAAGGGCUGGUAUCGCAAGCACGAGCCACUGAGCCCCGACGAUAUUCCUGAUCUGAGUGAAGCUCCCACUGCUGUGCUCACCAAGUGAAGGUUCAAGGCUGUGUGGGAGAUGUGUGCACUUUUCACUCUGUGCGUUCUCCUGUAAUGCAAGUGUUUCCUUCAAAAGGACUAGACGGUUACUUAAAAAUCCCUGAGAAAAUGAGAAAGCCGACUGAGCACUGGUUGGGACCCUCUUGCUGGCAGACGUUCUGCUCUUCUAAAGCCUAUGAACUGUGGAGAAGCAGCCAUUCUUCUUAUCUGGGACUGAGGGGAUCCCAGGCCCCCUGGGUCAAUCUGGAACCAACACCCCAGCCACCCGCUUUGCCUGUUGGCAAUGACACAGGUAGCCAACAAGAUGAAGGAUCUUUGUGUCAGGAGCCAACCUGGUCUUCCUGAAAGGCACCGCCCCAGUGAAGAGAGAAGUGACUAAAUAAAAUUCGCUGUAGGUCCUCUGUAAAAACA